rnacentral:lncRNA from 1 species
CUUCUACAGCCAGAUUAUAUUUAGCAAAUAGCAAGCUACAAGUGUUGGUGAUAUUUUCAAGAAUAUCUCUACGUAUAUAUUCAAGCCGGGUACAGCCUAGCAGAAAAUGAGCAAGUGUCUCUUCACUACAUUUGCAUAGCAUACAGACAACAUCUAUUUUGUUUUGAUUAAAGGAGGCUCUAUUUGUUUGGCCAAUGAGACAACUCUUCACGAGAGACCAAAACGACACAGAAAUUAACUAUAUAGGGCACCGUACGGUCUUCAACAAUGAUCAAAACCCA